CGUGGCUCUGUGGCCUAAAGAGGCCUCCGUAGACCCGCCCCCGCCACACCCUAGCGGCCUCCCAGCCGCUGCCAUGCUUCUGGCCCGCCACAGCAGCUGCCACUCAAAGGCUCUGCAUCCGGGCGGCUUGGCGGAGGCGUCCUGUAGGACUGGAGAUCCAGCGGUCGGCGGUGUCCGGGCUGGGAGAGGCCGCCACCACCAUCAGGUCACCGAGGCUGGAUUUGAACUCCUGAGCUCAAGUGAUCCUCCUACCUCAGCCUGCUGAGUAGCUGGGACUACAGGUAUGUGCUACCAUGCCCAGCAAAGGUACAUACUGUCAGGAAGCCCUUCAAACUGUGGAUCUACCUCUGAAUAUGGGUAAGUACACCAAAGAUCAUUCCAGGAAAUGACCAUAUGCCUCUGAGAAGGGAUGAGAAAGGAGUUGUGGAUCCUGUGUUUCUUUAGGGAAUCUCAGUCACUACAUCCCUCUGGAGAUGUGAGCAUCUUGCUGUGCUGAGGAUAGUUGUGUUUAAAGAUGUGUUUUCUUUACAAGGUGAUCUUUAGAUAUAAAGCCAGUGAUUUCGCUGGUGCUCAUCCAAAGAAACCACAAUUGUUCUGACACUGGAGGAAAAGCUGACUGCGCUGGAGAAGCGGGGUGUUGGUUUCCAGCAUGGUCACACCUUCAUUAGGGGUUCUCAAGGGGAAUUCUGACUCAGUGGGUUAUUUCGCUUUCUUCCUGACUUCAGAUGUAAUACCAUAGUACCUCCCAAAGAGGAACAGUAGUCCAUGGAGGCCAUGCAGUCUAAAUCUGUAUUAAGGAAGUAACGCAUUUCAAACCUAAAUUCACCAUAAUUUGCACCAUUUGUUCGGCCCACAGUUAAGGGGCAGUGUCAUUUCCCCUCUGGUCAUCCUGGGUUGCAUACGGGCCAUCUGUCUUUCAUGACCAGGCUUGAUCUGCACAGAGAUGUGAACGAAGUUUUGCAAUCAUAUUUUUUCUUUUCUUCUGCCUGUUACCUUUGGGCCAUCAUGUUCUAAAUAGCUUUCUCUGAUGAUCAGAGUAAAGAUAUUUCUCUGUUCUUCCGAGCAAGUAAACAUGAAACAUCAGGGUAAAGGUGACAGCCGGACUCUGUUUUCCUGCACCUGUAGGCCUCGUUCUGUCCUGCAGAGCCACCCAGAAAAGUUCUACACCUUCUCCUCCUCCAAAUAUUUGCAGGUGGGCUUUUGAGCUCCCCCAAACCAUAUUUUCUCCAGUACAAACUUCCUCAGCUUUUCCAGUCAGUGUUCGUGACAUAGUUGAGGGUCUCCUCACCAUUUUAGUCAUCCUUCUUUGAAUGCAUUCCUGUUUAUUAAAACCUGGUACCCAGAGAGGUAUCUAAUAUUUCAGGUGUCUUCCAAGCCCAUAGUAUUGCAGUAUUACCCAUUCUUUUUUUCUCAGUAUUGUUCUGUUAAUGCAUUUUAGGGUCACAUCAUUACUAUGAUUAUUUUAUAGGCUAGUACUCAUUUAUUAAUAAGGUAUUUUUCAGAAAUUUUCAUACUCUAUACCAAAGGCACUUCCUUGGCAAAGCGACCAUAUCUCUUUCUGUCUUGGUUUCUUCAUCUCCAAAUGGCAAUACUUAUGAUCCUAUGAGCUCACAGGACUAUUGUGAUGAAUGAAUGAGAUACUCUGGUCAAGUUCAACCUAGUAAAAAAGUCACUGAGACUGUGUCUACUUUCUGACUGUGAGUACUGCUAAAGUCUACCCCCACCUCUGCUUGCAGAAUUAAAGGAACAGGUUUAUGCAAGGGUACGGGUCUACCUGUGGUGACUUGAGGAGUACCCAGAGGACCCUGUCUACCUCCUCCUGCUUAGAAUAUGCCCUUUGCUAGCCUUCUGUGAUGCCUAGAAUUUCAUCCUUCACCCAUGUGAGUCAUUAUUGAACCACAGGAAGUUAAAGAUCAAUCAGUCUUAUCCCCCCCGCAACCCCUGGAGAGCUGCACAUGACACCCACAGCUGGCUCCUGGAACCUUGAGCAGAGACCAGGUCUUCCAGUCUUUUUCGGAAGUUCUCCCAUGAGGGUGUGAGUGGCCAGGGAGAUGUCCUAAAAGGGAUGCUGGGCUUGGGGUGGCUUAGAGGGCAAUUUCCCACCAGUUUUGCCAUUUUCUUCAGUCAGAAAGUGAGCAACCCAUGGCCAGUCCCAUGGCUUGAGCACAGCCCAGUAGGGCUCAGAGUUGGUCCCUGGUAUGUGGGAAUGACUGACCCUUGCAGCAGAGCCCAUGCUGGCCAGCACAGCUGAUGCUACACAUUUUAAGCAAGAGUAGACACACAUAACCUGGAUCUCCAAAACCCAUGCAGCCCAAUCUAUCCCAGUCUGAGUCAUCUUUCUCAUCCAGACUUGAGUCUUAGUUAGAGCACUGCCUUGGCCUUUAGUGAGGCCCCCAAAAUGAUGUCAAUGUUCACGCUCAGCUGCCCUUGUCUCAACCAGGCUAAUGAGGGGGAAAACGUUCUUUGUUUUAGGCCAAUUGGGUCUUCUCUGACUGCAGCUGUUUUCCUUUUUUGUUCCUACAAAUGCUGGGCCAACCCACAUAGUUUAAAGCCAAGGUCAGGACAGAGAGGGAAGGAGCUGUCCCCUGGUCACCCUGAUACCUGCUGUUGGAAAUCAGCCAACAAACACAAACCUACUUUGCAUCCCGUGAGUGUGCACGUAUGUUGGUUUUUAGGUGCUGCAGGAUAUGAGGAGGGCUGGGAAAGCUCUGCAUGUGCCUGGGGAGCAUGCUGGACCUCCCUUCCAGCUGCAGAAGGGGUCAGCACCCUGCCCCCACUGGGCUUGCUUGAACCUCUAAGAGACCUCUGGGCAACAUGCUGUUCCUUCUGACUGCCUCUGUCACCACUGCAGAUCAAGUCUUCCAGGUCAUCAGUCACCACGUGGCCCUUGUCCUGGGAGAGUUCUGCAUAUGCGCUCCUCCUUCACCCCUCUUCACCCUCCAGAUCUUUCCACUGCACUCUUGGGAACUGUCUCCUAGAGCCUUCCCUCCUCUGAAGGUGCCUUCACCUUCUUCUUUCACUGAAGCCUACUUGUCCUCAGGGUCCCUGCUCCCUGCAGCUGCUCAGGUUGAGGCUGGUUUCUGUCACCUACAGGCAGGUGUCAGGCAGGGCCUGGACAUGGAGGGGUUACCUGUUCCUCCCUGUCAGUCCUCAAACUCUUGUUUCUACCCCCAGUGACUCCAGUCCCCAGCUCCUUUCUUCGUUCACCUCUCCUCUCACUGACUCUGACACCCACCUGGACCAGUCCAACAACAUCCUGGCUCCCCCACCUCCUCAGACCCCUGCCUUCAUUUGAUUUUAGCCGCCACUGAGAUCUCAAAAUUUGCUUUUAUUUAAAACAAUGUUUUAAGUUUACCUACAUAACAUUCUUUUUCUGAUGUACAGGGCUGUGGUUUUUUAGAUGUGCAUGGAUUCUCACAGCCACAGACAGUACAUGCAACCAUUCCAGUACUCCGGAGAACUCCCUCAUCUUUUUUUACUGCUGCCUUCUGACAAGCAAUGAGCUAUUCUUUGUUUCUGUAUUUCUGCCUUUUCUAGAAUGCCAUAUAAUGAAAUUAUGUAGAAUGUGCCUUUUUGGUACUGGCUUCUUUUGUUCAAUAGAGUAAUACCUGUGAAAUUCAUCCAUACUCUUCUCUGGGUCAAGCAUGUUAACUUUCAUUGCUGAGUAGUAGCCCAUUGUGGAGGUAUUACAGUUUUUAAAAAUCUCCCCGUCGGAGGACAUUUGGGUUGUUUUCAGUUCUUGGUGAGGAUGAACAAUGCUGUUCUAAACAUUUGUGUGCAGAUUUUGUAUGGACUUAAAAUCUUGACUUUUUAAAAAUACCCAGAAGUGGUCAUUGCUGGGUCCUAUGUGUGUGAGAUCUCAAUUGUAAGCUUCCUCUCCUCUGACAACAAUGUCCUAUCCACAUGGUUCCAUUCUCUAACACAUCACACUGACCACUCUGACCUCACUAAGCUCCAGUUCACUGAGCCUGCCAUUUUUUUCUUUGAUCAUGAACCUAUUCAUUUUUUCUUUCCUUCUCAUACAACUUAGUGAUCCAUCAUAAUAGUCAUUCUAAUGGAAACAUUCCUAACUCCCUUAAACAUACCCUCUUGGCUGAACCACAACCUGGUAAACUCAACUACCCACCCAUUUAGCCUCCAUCAGAGUAGAACAGUGUGGCUGGAAGAAAACACAACUGUGCCACGGGUCAGUUCAUGACCAUAAAUCUCACUUGAGCUUCUGAUUCUGAUCCUCAAUCAGUCUGACCUUCUAAUGACUAUUUCAUAUUUGUAUCUCUUCAAACCUCUGACAGCCUCAUUUAUCACUGGGGAAACAGCGAUCAGACUAAAAAUUGCUCUUUAUCUUCCCGCCACCAAUUCCACCUGAUUGACUAAGUCUUUACUCCCUUCUCUGCCUUCCUCCUUUUAAAAUGAUGAGCUGUCCAUACUUCUGUCUGAAGCCAGCUCCUCCAUGGUGCAGUGGAUUCCAUCUGUGCCCAUCAGUCAUUUUAUUUCUACAAUUCUCUCUUUCCUGCCUUCAUCAACUUCUCUUUCUGCCAUCACCAUUUAUCUCCUAAUGUGGCUCAUCUUCAAAAAUAAUGUCCCUUACCUGCCCCCCCAAAAAACAGUAGCUUUUUUGACAUUAACCUUGAUCACCUGACAAACACCUCAGCCAGGUGAUCAAGGUUAACAUCAACAGCGAUGAGUCAUGAUGGUGGCAUGUGCCCUUGCUGUGGUGUGAGGCAGUGAUAAUGGCACUGUACCUCUGUGGUCUUCCUUUCCAAAACCCACAACUUCCGUCCAACCAGAAAAACACCAUACAAAUCCAAAUAGACGGAUAUUCUACAAGAUACUUAACUAGCACUCCUCAAAAUUGUCAAGGCCAUCAAAAGCAGGGAAAAUCUAAGAGAAACCUACGGAGACAAGACAAGUAAAUGUAAUAUGGUAUCCUGACUAGGACCCUAGAACAGAAAAAGAAAGAUACUAAGUAAAACUAAAAACCUGAAGAAGAAAGUACAGGCUUCAAAUUAUAAGGUACUAAUACUGGCUCAUUAAUUGUGUCAUAUGUACCAGAGUAAUGUUAACAAUGGGGAGGCUAGGCACAGUGGCUCACGCCUGUAUUCCUACCACUUUGGGAGGCCAAGGAAGGACAAUCCCUUGAGCCCAAGAGUUCGAGACCAGCCUGGGCCACAUAGGGAAACCCUGUCUCUAUUCUAAAAAUAAAGUAAUAGAGGAAACAGAGUGCAGAAAACUCUUAUAAUAGUCUCACAGGCUUUCUGUAAACCUAAAACUAUUCUAAGAUAAAAGUGAUUAAAUAUGAAACCAUACACACACUCUCUCUCUCUUUCUCUCUCUCUCCCCGCCCCCCCCCCCCCAAUCCAUGUCAUCUUCUUGCUUCACUCCAUUUCCCCACACAGGAAACCUUCCUGAAGGAGUUGCAUACUGCUACUGUCUUUAUCUCCCGACUCCAGGCAGCUCAUUCCUCAGUCUACUCCAAUCUGCUGUCCUUAGCUCCCCACCAACACUGCUCUUGUUAAGGUUGAUGAGGUGCUCCAUGUUGGCAAAUCCAAGUCAACUUUUUCCCCUUCCCUUCCCUUUCAGUCUAGUGUGUGUAUAACCCAGUUUACUGUGCCCUCCUUCCCGCAGCACCCUUGUCACUUGGCUUUUGGGGUACUAUAACCCUGGAUUUCUUCCUGCUCCUUGCUGUUCCUGCUCAGUCUGGCUUCUACCAGUGGCUUAGGUUCUGUCUCUGGACCUCUGUUCUUUGUCGGCACGCUCUUAUCUCAAAGGCAUAUUUCAUCCCAUCUCACAGAGUUAAAUACAGUUUACCUGCUGCACAUUCCUAAAGUAGUAUCUCCAGCUUUAAACCCUGUGAGGUAGGGACUGCUGUCACCACCAUUCUACAGGACAUCAGACUUAGGUGAUCAGAUGGGUAGAGGGCUUCCUUGAGGUUACACAGCAGGAAGUAGCAGGGUUGGGAUUUGAACCUAGGUCUGUCUGACUCUAGGCCUGUGUUAGGAACUGCCAGGCUGCCCCCUCCUUCCCAGCCCCUGUCCUGCCUGCUCCCCAGGGCCUCUUGCAUGUGUACUGCUCAUUCUGGCCUCAGGCCUUUGUCUCCCUGGUCCAAUUCUCCUGGAAUGACCUCUUUUCCCCCUGCCUGUCUAAUCCUCUUCCAUCCCAGCUCUGGUGGGAGUUUCUCUAUUCCUAAGACCCAGGCCGAUCUCCGCUGGCCGCCUCUGGACGCUUGUAGAAGCUGGAGUCCACCUAAAACAACUGAGGGCUCACUUGCAUCAUUAGUUACCAUGAUUUCUGAACCCAUGGUGGGGCCCUUGGCCCAUGUACAGCUGUACCCACGGGGACAUGGAAGCACGUGAUCUAACUGGCCCUGGCUGGGAAAACUGGGCCAUGGGCCUCCAUCAUCACACACCAUCUCAGGGUCUCAGUCAUCCACGGGGGCUCUGUUUGGUUUCCUCUACUAGGUGGAAAGCUUCUAGAGAGAAGGAUCAUCACUGCUGAAUAAAUAUAAUUUUUAAGCACUAUGUAUAUUAGGUGGGGCUGGGGAAGUCCUUCAAAAUCCUUUUCUCCUGGGUCCUAGGGGGCCAAGGAAAGUUCAGUCCAGUAGUGAAAGAAUUGAUUUAGACUUCAUUAAGGUCACAGAGAGGCUGAGAAGUUCCCACAGGGGUCACUGACCUCAAAGGAAUAUUUGGAAGAAAUGGGGGUGACAGGAUCAUUUUUGGAAGAACUGAGAGUGCCGGAGAGAAGUGACGAGGAGGGAUGACCAGGACACUGGAAGGGAGAUGUCGGAAGGGUUGUGUGGGAGACACAGUGCUGGCUGAGACAGCGAUAGCUGGCCUCCAGGGCAGAGAACACAGCCCUUUCACUUACAUGAGUUCAACCCGUUCCCAGCCCUGUCACUAAUUCCUUGUGUGACUGCAGGCAAGUCACCUUGUUUUCCUGGGCCUCAGUUUCCUCAUCUCUAAAUGAGGAGUUUGAAAAAAAGAAGUGAUGGGGUUGGGCGACUGUUUCCAGCCCCCUCUCAGCAUCCUGAAUCUAUCUGAGAUAACAUAUCCUGUGCUGUCUUGCUCCGGAAAGGAAGAGCCAGUUUAACCUGACCGUUCUCCUACAGGCCUCCUGGUAAGAGUUCUUUUUCACAAAAAGGUAGAGUUUUUUUGUGAGGGAUCCAGGAGAGGAAGGAUGUAAGUGGUUGAAUCUCGCAUGUUGUAAAAGAAAUGAAUCUGCAUUUCCUUGAUUUCCAGACAAAACAGUUGAUUCACUUCAUUCACUUUCUAUCCCCAAUUGAAAUGGGCAUCAAAGCCCAUGCUUGCAGAAUGGCAUCAGUUGUCCUGCAUGACCAGAAGGGGUAGGGUUGACCCUUCUGAUGUUCCAGCCUUGGGUCAGAGUCCCUCUUGCAGCAAGAUUUCUUAUCCAUAAGCCUGCCAACCAAGACAAGUGCUGAGAUAUUGUAACAGUCCACUAGAGUUUGCUUGCCUAGAGGGGAACAUAUCUAGCAUCAGGAGAACCCCCAAUGGCUGAAGGAUUGCUAAUUCUGUGCAGGCUCCUGCCUUGGUCCUUGGACAUCUGGUCACACAGGCAUGUACCUACUCCUAAGUCACCUACAUUUUGAAAAUAGAAAAUCAGAAGCAUUGAAGUCUUCACUGGAUUGCUUGAGACAAAACAUGAAGCAGUGAUGGCUUGUGUGGGUCUUGUGUCUUGUGCUGGGAGGCUGAGCUCCUCUGACCCAUCAGGAACAAUGGCUUCAUUGUGCUCCUUUUUGGCUUGCUUCCUGGACUUGGAAGCAAGAGGAGCUUUGAGCUGCCCAGAACCCCCAGGGGCAGGAGGGUAUAAUCAUGGCCCAAGGACAGCACUGUGGACCCCAUGGGACCCUGCAGUUGUUAGGGAGUUGGGAUAGCACCUUUCCAGGCCUGAAUCCUGAAUUUGCCAGUGCUCAGAGAGAACUCUGCUCCUGAAUAUUGGGCUGAGAUGUGUCAUUCGCAGAAAACCUUCAGAAAAGAACAGGUGGUGUUUUCAGGAAGUCCAAGAUGACAGGCAAAGGUGGGUGGGAACCUGGCGGAGCCCAGAAACUCCAAUCUGAAGGUCCAGGCCCCAAGAUUGGGAAGAGAAGAGUAAGCGAAAGAAUGAGAAGGAGGUCUAAAGGCUAAAAUAAAGUAAUAAAGACAUGAAUUUUAUAUUUAGAAAUGAGAAGAGGGUCCCAUCAUAGAGUCAGCCUCCUGGCCAGCAGUCUAAGGGGACAGAGGAGAGAAGCAUGGGCCAGGAGGGGUUUUAGGUUUCAUUUCUCCCAUCAACAAGCUGUGCCUUGCUUAAGUCAUCUAAUAAGAUCCUCAGUUUCAGCUGCAGAAUGGGUGCUCAUGGUAUUGCUUAGACUUAGGAUCCAGUGAGCUAACAAGCUCACUAUCAUGUGAGACCACACCAUGUGGACCAAAUGGUUAGGCAAAGUACAUGCUGCUGGAAUGGCUGGUUCUAGGAUGGACAGUGAAAGCAGAGGUUGCUGCGCCAUCUCUCCCCUUGCCCCCCAUCUCUAUGGAGACAGUCCAUGUGAAAAAUUAACAGUCUUUCCUUCACCAGUCUUCUUAUCUGCUCACUUCAGUAGUCUCAAAGAUUUGUGCUAAUGUUCAGUUUCUACAAACUACUUAAUACAUACUUCACUUUACAUUGGCAUAGCCCAUGAUAAAUCCGCAAGAAAUAAGAGCCACCAGCAGUGGUAGGAUCAGAAUACUUUAAUAAGAUACCAGUGUCAAAAUACAUUUCCUUAUAAAGUUAAGCUCCCAUACAAUUAUAAUGUUGUCAGUAGGAAUUCGACAAUAUAAUAAUGUUCAUGAAAUUGUUAUGUUGACAGGUAAGGUUAAUAUGAAGCUUGGAAUCUUUUUCAGAGUGUUUUAGUAAAACUGCAAGGGUAAAAUGCCCUUAAUGCUGGGCGACACACACAGGAAAUUAAAUACCAGCAUUUACAUGUCAGUAACCCUUCAAGUUCUGCCACCCUGUGUGGGGUAACGCUCUGCAGCUAAAAUAUGAUUUAGGCAACACCAUGACUAAGGAAUUGCUCAUAUACCUUAAAUUUAUUUUGAAAAGCUACUUUUUGUUUUUUGGCAAUAAGUCCAUCUUAGGCUUACCACAUAGUUGGCCCAAUGUGCUUUGUGUGUGUUUUUAGAAACUUCUUCAUUGUACCCAUUACAGAAAAGUUCCAUGUAGUUGGUAUUGAAAAACCAGAGGUGUCAUCCCUCCUACCCAGUAAGUUGUAAAGUGCUCCGGGAAUACUAUUUUCAGUGCUUCCUACCUAUUCAUGUGACUACCCUACCCAGA